CGAGAGGAAAAUAUUGAGUUUUUCUUCUCUGAGCAGCAUCAUCUCCUUCGAUUCUUCUUCAAUUAGUUUUAAUUAGUUUGGAAUUUUCUCUAACAUCUUUAUCGAUUUGCAGAGAAAGAUUGAGUUUCAGAAAAUGGUGAAGUGAAGAAUAUACCUGCAACGAGGAAAGUUGAAUUUUUUUUGAUAGUUGCAGUUGAAUUUAUUGAUAAACAAAUGGCUUCAAGUACUAAGGGACCUUCUAUUCCUGUUGACAAUCCUGAUGAGAGCAUGGAUACAACUACCCCGGUAUCCGUCGAGAGCAUAUCUACAACUACACCAUCAUCUCUGGUUGAAGUUUCAAAGCCUCUUAAAGCUUCUGGUAAGAAGCAAUCAGAUUGCUGGCAACAUUUUGAUAAGCGUCUUGAUCUUAAGCCACCUAAAGUUCAGUGCAAGCAUUGAAAAAGGAAGUUUUCAUGGGUUAAAGACGAUAUAGGGGGUUCUAACUCUCAUGGAACAACAGAUAUGAACAACCAUAUAAAGAAAAGAAGGUGUCCUAAUAACCGUUAGACUUUCAAGUAAGUGAUGGUGAGACUCGUUCCUUUGUGACUCACUCGUUUGACCAAGACGCAUGUAGAACAUCCCUCACCAGAAUGGUCAUCAAAGAUGAAUUACCUUUAAUGUUUGUACAACGUGAAGGCUUCUUAGAAUUUUGUCAUCAAUUAGAAACUAGGUUUGAAGUUCUUUCUCGUUUUACUGAAGCUAGAGACUGCAUGAAGAUGUAUUUAAGUGAGUACCACAAAUUGAAAGCUGAAUUUUAAAAGUAUAGUAGAAGGUUAUGUCUCACCACUGAUACGUGGACUUCAGUUACAAACAUGAGCUACAUGGUGUUGACAGGUCAUUAUAUUGAUGAGAAAUGGGUGUUAAAGAAGAAGAUAUUGAAUUUUUGUCCAGUUACGGAUCAUACUGCUCUGGAAUUGGGUAAAACAAUUGCAGAUUGUCUUUUACAGUGGGGUAUUUAAAGGGUAUUCACUUUGACAGUUGAUAAUGUUAUUUCUAACAAUGAAACAGUUUCUUAUUUGUCCAAGAGAGUUGUGGGUUGGAAGGCUGCAAUUUUGGGAGGAGAGCACAUGCAUCUUAGAUGUGCAACACAUAUCCUUGCCUUAGUGGUUGAAGAUGGUAUGGAUUUGUAUAAUGAAUCUAUUUCUAGGAUACGUGAGGCCGUUAAGUUCGUUAGAGGAUCAGCAGAAAGAUUUAAGAAGUUUAGAGAAUGCGCUGAACAACGGAAGAUUAACAUCACCAAAUUUCUUAGCUUGGAUUGCGAGACUAGAUGGAAUUCUACUUACCAUAUGUUGUCUGCAGCUGAAAAAUAUGAGGAGGCCUUCUAACAAUUUGAAGAAUUAGGGUAUGCGGAUAAAUUUCUUAAUCCCCCUCGACCACCAACCAGAAGUAAAACAAACGUACCAGCAAUUCCUAAUGUAUGGCCCGUUGCUUCUGAUUGGGAAACAUCUCGUGCAUUUGUUAGAUUGCAAAAAAAAUUCUAUGAUGCUACAUUGAAAUUUUCUGGAUCAACCUAUGUCACGUUUAAUUUAUUCCUCGAUGAAGUAAUUUGUAUUAAUGACGUAUUGCAAG